rnacentral:rRNA from 1 species
CAAUAGCGUAUAUUAAUGUUGUUGCAGUUAAAAAGCUCGUAGUUGGAUUUCUGGUGGGAGUGGCCGGUCCGCCGUAAGGUGUGUACUUGGUUGUCUCCCGUCAUCCUUGUGGGAACUGCUCUGGCAUUAAGUUGUCGGGGUUAGGGAACACAUCGUUUACUGUGAAAAAUUAGAGUGUUUAAAGCAGGCUUAUGCCGUUGAAUACAUUAGCAUGGAAUAAUAAGAUAGGACUUUGGCGUCUAUUUUGUUGGUUUGCACACCAAGGUAAUGAUUAAUAGGGAUAGUUGGGGGUAUUCGUAUUUAAUUGUCAGAGGUGAAAUUCUUGGAUUUAUGAAAGACGAACUUCUGCGAAAGCAUUUACCAAAGAUGUUUUCAUUAAUCAAGAACGAAAGUUAGGGGAUCGAAGACGAUUAGAUACCAU